rnacentral:lncRNA from 1 species
UAAUGUCUUGGACUUUCCAAAGAAAACAGUAUUAAUAAGGAAACUGAGACUCAGAUCAGAUUUAGUCAUCAUCACAAGCUAGUCAGAAUUGACACUAGAACUUGAAACCAGGCUUUAGGAUUGUAGGUUCAGUGCUUCUUCUUCAAAUUUACCAUAUUGCCUGAUAUUUUAAUAGAAAGAAGAGAGGUAGGAAGGAAGGAAGGAAGGAAGGAAGGAAGGAAGGAAGGAAGGAAGGAAGGAAGGAAGGAAGGAAGGAAGGAAGGAAGGAAGGAAGGAAGGAAGGAAGGAAGGAAGGAAAGAUGGCAGGAAGGAAGGAAGGAAGGAAAGAUGGCAGAAAGGAAAGAUGGCAGGAAGGAAAGAAAGAUGACAGGAAGGAAAGAUGGCAGGAAGUCAGGCAAGAAGGCAGGAAGGAAGGAAAGAAAGAAGGAGGGAGGGAGGGAGGGAAAAGGAAGGAAGGAAGGAAGGAAGGAAGGAAGGAAGGAAGGAAGGAAGGAAGGAAGGAAGGAAGGAAGGAAGGAAGGAAGGAAGGAAGGAAGGAAGGAAGGAAGGAAGGAAGGAAGGAAGGAAGGAAGGAAGGAAGGAAGGAAGGAAGGAAGGAAGGAAGGAAGGAAGGAAGGAAGGAAGGAAGGAAGGAAGGAAGGAAGGAAGGAAGGAAGGAAGGAAAGCAAAAUAGUCCCUGUCCUCAAGGAAUUUGAUGGGGUAGAUAAUAUGUAGAUAGACUUGUAUGUUCAAGCUAGAUAUAAAGUAGGUAAAACAUAAUUUGAGAAGGGCAGGCACUAGUGACUAGGGAAGAUUGGUAAAGACCUCUUGCCAAUGGGAGGACUGAAGUCCUAUUAUCAUAGGAUUGUAGGCUUAGUCCUAAAAGUGACUUCAGAUGUUUUCCAUGUAGCCCAACCUCCUUAUAUGAUAGAUGAGGGAAAUGAGGGCUAAAAAGACAUGCCCAGGGGCACAUAGAAGUGACAGAGGUAGGAUUUGACUCAAGUACUUUGUUCCCAGUAUUCUUUCCAUUGUAUCAAAAGGAAAAGCAUUUUGAAAAUACAUAUACCAUUCUACAAGUCAACAUUAUUAGAUAGAGAGAAAGAAAAGAGAAACAUUCACCAAUCGGAGAAUGGCUAAACAAAUUGUAUUAUAUUCUUGAAAUGGAAUAUUACCAUUCUAUAGGAAACUGUUUCUGAUGGAUACAGAGAAGCAUAGAAAAAGCUACAUCAACUGAUAUGGAGUAAAGUCAUCAGAGCCAAGAAAACCAGAUAUACAUUAACAGAAAGAAUAACCACAAAAAGUGAAUCUAGCAAAAAUAUUUUUAAGUAUAACUCCAAAGAAAAGAUUUGAUGAGAUACUCUAACCUCACCUUUUUAGAAGUGAGAGGUCAAUGAGGAUAGUACAUUGCAUAUAUGAUUAGAUAUUUGCAAUGUAUUGUCAAUCAAUUGUGUUGAUCCUUU